AUCGCUUCUCUGCCUUUUGGCUAAGAUCAAGUGUAGUAUGAUGUAAGGAAUAACCUUUGUGACACAGGUUCAGAGGCACAAGAUGUUCCUCCAUACUGAUCCCUGGGGAAUUCGGGGGACAGGGCAGGGUGAGAUCUACGACUACAAUUUUGCCAUUUUUU
ensembl:snRNA U2 U2 spliceosomal RNA